UAUGGAAUUUUUGAGUUAGUUGUUUUAAUAAAGAUAUUAGAAUUUGAAUGAAAAUAAGUUGAUGUUAACUUGGUAAUAUAUAUAUAAUGUUGUAAGAUUUCGUUUAAUAGUAAAUUUGUCUGUAUCCCAUUUUUGCUGAUUCACGAACGCAACAACAUAAAGAAAAAUUCGGGAUAGCAAACUCAAAGAAUUCUUCAAGUAAGAAGCAUUAUAUGUCUAUCUGAAAUGUUUUGAAAGAUUGUGGAUUGGAAAAUAAGUCUUAAAUUCUCCGUUUUGGCACAAUCAUUUCAGGCACUGGUUGCAUCAACAAUGCUGUAUGUAGAACUGUAUGCAGUUGUGGCACAAACUUCUCCCAUCUUGAACUUUGGAGUCCGACAGCAGCGCCGCUGUAUUCGAAUCAGUUGACACCGAGAUCUUCUGUACUUUGGGUUAGACUGUAACUGGAAUUUAAGACGUCUUUAAUUCUACAUAUCAUUUGUGUUUAUGUCCGUGAAGUGUGAAUAAUUGUUUCGUCUCAAAGAAUGUGGAUUAUUUUUGCAAAAGUGAUAUUAUUACUCAUCUAUACUGGCGGUCUUGGAAUAUAAGCCAACUACUAAACUAUUUAUUGAUGGGAAAUUUAACAAAUCCAAGACUUCAGAUUGGACUGAUUUGCACAAUUCUGUAACAAAUCAAGUUGUGACAAGAAUGCUUAAAUCUACCAAAGAUGAAAUGGAAUGAGCAGUUGCCAGUGCAAAAGAAAUAUUUCAAACUUGGUCCAAUACAUUAAUUCUUACUCGACAGUAGACUAUGUUCAGGUUGCAGUAUUUAAUAAAAGAGAAUAUGGUAAUAUCAUUUGUGUUCUUUAGGGUUGUUUCUAUUUAUACUGGAUUUGUGAUUUAAACAUUUUUAAAAUCUUACUGAUUUUUGAUAAUAUUAUCAAACAAUACAUCUCAUUGAAUUUUAGAAAAAAAAAAAUCCUAUCAAACUAUUAAAUAUAAUUAACAAUAAGAUUGAUCCACGAAGUGUUUUAGAUAUUUAUUUUUACUUUCAUUUGUAAGAUUUUUUAUUUAAUGCAAAAAUGGCAAAAGGAACUCUUCAAAUUUUACAAUGUUAUUAAUUCUCAGUGACGUAGUACAUGGAUAUGAGUUCUGAAUUUUAUUUGGGAAAUAUUUAUGUGAGUCCCAGAUGUCUGAAAUUAUAAUUUAAAAUAGAAAUUGAGAGCAUUAAUUAAUAUAAUUAAUUUUUAAUUAAAGCUAACACUGAAAAAUUGAAAAUUAUUUUUGCUAGCUUGCUCUACCCACUCCCCCCGAUUAUUUGGCUGAUCGUUCAUGAAAACAUUUAUAUCUAAUUAAUGAUUUUAUUUUUGUAUUUAAUUUAUAUAUAUCGUGUAGUUUUACAGUCAAAAGUUUGCAAGAAUAUUUACUGAGUAAGGAAUUAUUUACAGAGUAAAAUAAUUCCUUAAGUCUUAACAAAACAAGCAAUAACUGUUAAAAACAAGUGAAUUAAUUCCACUUGUGAAUUUUGCAGCUAAACUAGUUAAUAAUGUAUGAAAGAAUCCAGUAUUCAUCUUCAAUGUAAUUUAAAAAGAAUCCAAUCUAAAUGCCUAAAAUGAAAUAUAUGCAUUUAGUAUGCAGCAAAAUACAUGCAGUAAAUGAGGAAAUCUAGAACUAUGGAAUGUUCUGAAAUUAUUGCAAACAGGGGCUAUAAUUUGAAUUUUUAUAAGAUAUUUUCAAUGAAAUUAUCUUUAUAGUUGGCCAACAGUUAGUGCAAACUGCAUGAUUGUCACUAAAAAUAAAGGAGUACGUUAUUUUUAGGCAUAUUGUAGUACAUGAAAUCACUGCUGACUGUAUAUGACAUAUGAAGUGUAGCAUUACAUAUAAGAUAAUUGCACUUUUUUUUUUAUUUCUUCAUAAAUGUUAUACAAAUACAUUUACAGCAUUAUACAAAUUUUUGGUUAAAAUAUUAGUUUAAAGAAAAUAUCAUACUUCAAUGCAGUGACUGGGUAUCUUAAGUCUUCGGUUAGUAUUGUAAAGUCUCGAUCCAAAAACAGGUAGCGAUAUGAUCAAAUUUUUUUAUUUACAGCUUUAUUACAUAAAAACAACUCUUUCUAAUCUAGGUUAAAUGAAUGAUGCUAUUUACAACACGAAAAUUACACAAGAAUAGUUCCUCGAACUAUUUCGAAGGAAACAACUUUACAAGAACAGCUAACAGGCUGUUGGCGUCUUAGGCUACUCCGGGGGUAGCUCUCGGAAUCCACCGAAUUUUCUUCGGGUGGAAUUCUACGCAGAAGUCCGAUUCACACGAAGUUUCUCCUCCUUGGUUCACACGAAGCUCCUCUCCGUCUUCUUCCGAAAAAUCUCACCUUUUAUUUUCCUCUCAGACUCCCUGUUACCCAAUCACCGUUCAGAACAACCUGAAUCGUCUCUGGUCGCCCGUGGGAAAAUGUCCAUUGAUGAUUCACCCUCCACCAUGGGAAAAAUGCAGGACAUCUGGAGUGUUUGACACUGUCGCCUUUCGAAGACACGAUUUAUUUCCCUGGGAAACGCACGUGUGGUUCCUUAUCUGGAUUAGCACUAAAUGGCCAGAUGACCGUACUUAAAAGGAGGAUCUUCCAUUUGGCAAUCUGGAGGCACUUAACACUGUGGGAGUUUCGUUGAUGAAGAAUGGCCCGGAAUGUACAUUAUCGAGUGUGGGAAAAAGGAAUGUCACAGUGGUCACCCAGGAAGAAGCUGAUUCAUUACAAGGUUGUGGAGUUAUAUCCUUACAGUUGGGAGAAACCUUACCAUCAAUAUCUCGAGACAUGGAUACCACAUCAUAUCACUUUCCUCUUGGAAUGUGUACUGAUAUUUGCACCAUUUAAUUUUCCUGCAAUGAUACGUUUUUAGAUGUUUCCUCUAGCAUUGGUAUGUGGUAAUACUAUGAUUCUCAAACUAUCUGAAAGAGAUCCAGGUGCCACAAUGAUUUUCAUGGAGUUAGCAAAAGAAGCUGGUAUACCUGAUGGCGCUGUUAAUGUAAUUCAUGGCGCACAUGAAGGAUAAAUAGGUCUAUGAACGAGGCUCCAAGAAUGUCAAACGUGUGCAAUGUAAUAUGGGUGCUAAAAUUCAUGGAGUUAUAAUGCCAGAUGCAAAAAAAAAAAGAAAAGAAAGCAUGCUCUAAAUCAGCUUAUAGGUACAGCAUUCGGAGCAGCAGGUCAGCGUUGUAUGGCCUUAUUGUUUUUGUUGAAGAAUCACUGAAAUGGAUUUCAGGUUUUACAGAAAAAUAAGAUCUUGGACCUGUCAUAUCACCUGGAAGCCAAAAAGAGAAUUUGCAAUUUAGUUGAAUCAGGAGUAAAGGAGGGUGCCAAAUUGUUGUUGGAUGGAAGAGGCUUUGUAGUUCCAGGUUUUGAAAAAGGAAACUUUGUUGGUCCGACUAUUCUUUCUGAUGUGAAGGGUGUCAAUUUCUACAUGCAGCUGAAGACGAUAACCCAGUUGUGGAGGGAACAAGAUGCUACUGAUUCUAAAGUAGCAACGAGCAUGCCAGUCAUAAAGUAAAUAACAUGAAGUGCCAAUAUGUCUUCCAAAGAUGAAUUUAUUAUUAAUAAAAUUUUGGAGUUGGAG